CCCUUAGAUGUCCUGGGCUGCACGCGCGCUACACUGGAAGUUACGGAUUGAGAUACUACCUUGUCCGAAAUGGUCCGGGUAAUCACCUAAAAGCUUGUCAUAAUUGGAAUGGAUUAUUGUAACUAGUAAUCCUGAACGAGGAAUUCCUAGUAAGUCCCAGUCAACAGCUGGUACUGAUUACGUCCCUGCCCUUUGUACACACCGCCCGUCGCUACUACUGAUUGGACGUUUAAGCAAGAUUUUUAAACACUGACAGUGUGUAGUUCACGCUAUACUACAGUGUGAAGAAGAAGAUCGAGCUUACUUGUCUAGAGGAAGUAAAAGUCGUAACA
rnacentral:rRNA from 1 species